AGCGAACGCUGGCGGCAGGCCUAACACAUGCAAGUCGAACGAAGUCUUCGGACUUAGUGGCGGACGGGUGAGUAACACGUGGGAACGUGCCUUUAGGUUCGGAAUAACUCAGGGAAACUUGUGCUAAUACCGAAUGUGCCCUUCGGGGGAAAGAUUUAUCGCCUUUAGAGCGGCCCGCGUCUGAUUAGCUAGUUGAUGAGGUAAAGGCUCACCAAGGCGACGAUCAGUAGCUGGUCUGAGAGGAUGAUCAGCCACAUUGGGACUGAGACACGGCCCAAACUCCUACGGGAGGCAGCAGUGGGGAAUCUUGCGCAAUGGGCGAAAGCCUGACGCAGCCAUGCCGCGUGAAUGAUGGAGGUCUUAGGAUUGUAAAAUUCUUUCACCGGGGACGAUAAUGACGGUACCCGGAGAAGAAGCCCCGGCUAACUUCGUGCCAGCAGCCGCAGUAAGAC
rnacentral:rRNA from 1 species